AUACCGAGGACUCUCCGGGGACUUCGCCCGGCAACAGUAACGCCGGAUGCCCAGCAGAGCCUCCUGCACAGACAGAGAUCAGAGGAGAGGCCACAUCAAUCAUGCAUCCACGAGGGUGUAGUAAAAAGCCGCUUCUGUGCAGUGAGUUGCCGAAAUGUGCAAAUAUACAUAUGAUCCCACACUGCUUUAGAAAUGCUGAGGUCCAGGCUCCGGGGAGGCCAAUCCAUGACUGAUGGCGUUACACUGCAUGCUUUUCUAUCCAGAAAUGGCUUCUUGACAGCCAUCUUUCCACUGAGACCAUUUCGGAUGAGGGUUCAGUGAAUAGUAAAUGGAUCAGCUGAAGGCCCAGAUACAUCUCGCAGGUCCUGUGUCUGGUCUUUGUUGGAUUUUUUCCCCCCAUUUCUUAAGGACACAACUUUCAGACACUGUUCAUCCGCUGUAGACAGAUUUUAUGCCUGCCAUUUCUUCUUUUGUCCUGCACUUGACCCGUUUCCAGACAUUUUUAAAGGAUACACUGCACACCAUGCAGGGAUAUGCCAAGUUUUUGACUAAUGGCUCCUGGGGAAUCACCUUGUUGGAGCACAAAUAUUAUUUUAUGACUGUCCAACUGUGUUAUCUUUGGCAUUUCUCAUAGCUUUAACUAAAGUGCCUAAAGAUAUAGUUUAAAAAUGGCUCUUUGCUAAGUUGUCUGAAAUGCACAGAUCCGACACUGGUCCAUCUCUUGAGUUAGGUGUUUUUAU